UCAAUUGGGAAACGAGUGGGAGACGUUCGUUCAAUUGGGAAACGAGUGGGAGACGUUCGUUCAAAUAAAAUGACUAUCAUUAUAUUUUUAGAAAAGAAAAAAAGAAAACAAAAAAACAUACGACGAACGUUUUCGACUUUCUUAAAUUUUGAACAAACUUAUCCUCCUCGUGUAAAUUUGAUAUAAAUAAAAGUUCUUUAGUCAUCCUCGGAAAAUUUUAGGCUCUUGUCGCGAAUUUGUUUUUUCUAUCAUCGUUUAACAAAAAUAUCUUCUCAUUAAUAAUUAAUAUUACGUGCGCGUGCGCGUGCGUGCGAGCGAUUAAAAGAAAUAUUAGGAUUAAGAUAAUUUAGCAAUGAUUAUGUAAAUUAUUGUAAAUUAUUUCACAUAAAUCUGUGCGUAAAUUUUAAAUAUUAAUUAUUGACGGGUGACGCGAUGUAAUUAUCCUAGGACUUUAGAUUUAGACGGGGUUGACAGUUGUUUGUCUGCGAUUAGAUAUGUUCUGCGAUUAGAUAUGUUCUGCGAUUAUAGGAUUAAGAAUUAGGAAUUAGGGAAAAUUCUACUUAAUUAGUUUCUAAUUCUUAUUUUUAAAAAUUCAAUUGGCAAAACCUGUUUCAAAUUUAUAUAAAUAUAUAUACGUUCAUAGAAACUUGCUCGGGAAUGAUUUUAAUUUGUAUAAUGUCCGACAAUGACGAUGCUAGGUAAAAAGAAAGAUAGACAGAGUAAGAAGUAUCCCUUAAGAGAAAUGUACCAAAACUUAAAUGUUUUAAAAAAGUAUGGCGAGAGCUUUCAUGAAAUGAUGGUCAAAUAACCGAAGAAAUAAUAUUAUUGUUCCAUACGGUACGACAGUAAAUAAGUAAGUGAACAGAUUUAGAAUUAGUUUGAUAAGUAAUAAACGACUCCUAACAUGGAACGCAAAUGCGCGAUGAUUUAUAAUUAGAUCCUAAGUUUUUAGAAAAGAAGUUUGCCAAUUCACUAUUUUCUAGAGCCUGCCAGGUAUCACAAAUAAUGCUAGUUAUCCAGUAUCAUCUAUUUAGCGUAGUUGAUUACGUUAUAAAAAAAAAAAAACUACAUUAUUAUUCUACCCGAUAAGUAAUUAGAAAUUUGUGUUCUAAAAGAAAAAGAUUUGUUAGGUAUAUUUUUGAUGAAAUACGUUUUAUUAGGAUGAACGGAGUAUAAAUCACGAGGAUUAGCAUCGUAAAAAAAUAAAAGACAAAAAAAAAUAAAAAAGAUAAAAAAAAAAAAAAAAAAAAAAAAAAAAAAAAUAAAAAAAAGAAAAAACAAAAAAUAAAACAAACAAAAAACAAAAAAUAAAACAAACAAAAAAGAGGCAAAUACAAAAAAUUGGUAGCGGAAACUUGAUAAAAUCACAACAAUGAUCGAGAGUUAGCCAACCAACCUUACAACAAAAAAAUUGAUAAAAUUUACAAAAAAAAUUUGCAAAAUAUUUAAAAAAUUACAAAAAAAAAAAAGAAAGAAAAGAAAAAAAAAGAAAAAGAAAUAAAAGAUAGGAGAAACAACGACUAUGAACAACACGCGUAACCCAAUACCACCGUACCUAUUUGGUUGACAGGACACGCAAAUUGAAGAUAAAAGUUAUCCCUCAAUAGGAUAAUAUGUGGUGGCAGAGUAAAAACAGGCAGCAGAAACGAUUCCUUCACUAUCUUAUUCGCAUCAACAUCAAAUUCUAAGUGCAUCCCGAACUUAAAUAGUUCGAAAAGCAAGAAGAGAAGGGGGUCUUUUUUCUGACGUUUUCACGAAAAUGUCUGAGAGAUCACGUGGCAACACACUUGUUAGAUAUAUAGCGAAUGAGUUAUCCUUCCAAAAAUACCACAUUCGAGUAAUGUUCGUACUAAAAAGACACCUAACGCGUCAGCUUUUUACCACCAACGACCAACAACACUGUGUAUGUGUGUGUGUGUUACUUUACUUUGAUUAUACACACAAACAAACACCCACAGUCCCGCUGAAAUUCCGAUUCCAAUCAACGAACGGAUGAUGAUACAUUUUCGAACUUUCUCGAGAGAUUUUCAAUGUUUCGGGGUUCCAUUUUAGAAGAGCGAACAUUUCUCUGGGAUUAGUGUUGUAUAGAAAUAAUCUUUGGUAACUUGAAGAAGGAUUGGGUGGGAAAAGAUUUACAAAUUGAGAUAGAGUCUCAUGCACCUUAGUAUACUUAACAUCGUUAUGUGUGUAAUAUUUGAAUGUCAUCUUUUAAAUUUAGUAAAAGUUCAUCUUUUAAAUUUAGUAAAAGUUCAUCUUUUAUAGUGUUACGAAUAUUCAUGACCAACAAUUAUGCAAUCUCGUAGUAAUAUACAUAGGCUCUGAGGUAUAACAAUUAAUAAAUUGAUCUCCAAAUAACAUACAAGAAAAAGGAUGAUCAGUUUAAAUCGUAAAAAUACAAGAUAAAUAUUGCUUUAGAUACUUCAGGUACUUACCCAUAGGUCCGAAUACACUUCAAAAUUAUUUGAUUCGAUGAAAAGAAUUUUUCGCAGGUAUUCGGAAUUGAACAGAAACUGUCGUUUAACGAUUACUGAUAAUCAUAUUAAUCAAUCUCAAAUAAAAAAGGAUAAAAAUCCUCCCUCGGUCUCGGUGUUAGAGAGUAAAAUCACGUUCGAUCGAUCAGAGAGAGGAUAAUAAAAUAAAAAUAUUCCGAAACGAUGUUUCAAUCGUCAUCCAACCGUGUAAUUCAACUUUAUUCUAUGGAUAAUGAUAGAAACAUAUCGCGGAAUUGAGAGAUAUCGGUGCAAAUGGUAAUAAAUUAACGCAAAAUAACUUACCCCCGAUAGGAUUCACGAUUUAUGCUAAAGUUUCCUUAAAAUAAAAGGAAUGAAAGAUAAAAAAGCAAAUAGGAAGGAACAAUCUUGAGCCUUGUAUGAACGAAUACAUUAAAGGUGUGUACUAUGUUUUAUCUCGUAUAGAUAAAAAAUAGUUAUUAAGUGAAAACAGUAAAACUAAAUUGAGAAUAAUAUUAUUCUCAAAUCUGAAAAUCUUAUUCUCUGAAUCCCAUUCAAGGAAACGUCAUCUCACUUAGGCGCGCAUACUUAGGUAAUUCUAACGUUGACCCCCUUUUUUGUUCUUUCUUUUUUUUCUUACAACAGGAGGUAAAAUUUUAACCUCCUUUUUAACAUACCAUGGGUUGGGAGGGGCAGGUUAAAAGCCUUUUAAAAACGGACAACACACUAUAUUAUUUCCUGGACGGGUAAACUAAAGCCAAGUACUCGUGAGUCUUUCAUAAUUUUUAAAAAUAUCGUCCAGGUAAAUACACCCACUACCCCCUCGCUUCCCUAUUCUAUAUACAAUUCACUGAAACAAUUAUUAUUUUUUUGUCGUGUUAGUGUGUUUGUCCUAAGUAAUAUUCUAUAUCCUUUGAAAAAUAAUUUUAAUAAUCGUAUCGAAUUCAUUUUAAAAACAAAUUUAAAUGGCAUAAAACCAUAAGAUUUUAAUUGUCCGAAUGAUUUACUUGCUUUUAAGAUAGCUUGUAACGGGGAACAGGUUUUUAAAUAAACUUUUUAAGAUCGGUUUAUUGAUAAGAAACAAAAAUACUAUGAUGUUCACGUAGUAUGAAUGAUGAGCGUGCCAUUGAAAUUUUUAACGUAAGAGACUCUUUUUUCAUCUCUUCUCGAGGUGAUAAAGAUUAUUAUAAAUGUAAAAAACAAAACAAGCGGAGAGAUUAUUUUAAUCACAUAGUUAAGCACAAUUACGCGUGAGAGCUUUCAUUAUCGUAAAAUAAUAUUAUCAUUAUCGUAACAUUUUUACUCCUACGACUAGUUGCUUUUCUUAUUUCCUUAUCGAUGGGUAUCAUAAAAACAAUAAUAAUAAUAAUAAUUAAAUAAAAACAAAAAAAAAAAUAUAAAAAUAUAAUAAAAAGAACGACGAGCAAUCGUCGUCGUCAAAAAAGAAAAUAAAAAAAAAAUAAAUAUAUAAAUAAGUUUAAGUGGUUCACAAGAGUGUGUAGUAGUAUUCGUUAAUUUAAGAGGCGGAACUGGACCUGAUUAGAAUGAAGCAUUUUAAUUGUUAAUUAAUAAAUAUAUGCCAAGGGGUAUUCUAGUAUCUUGAUAAAUAUGGUUAACAAUAAUCUACUAAUGUAGAUUAAAUAAUAUCGAUUGAUUAUUCAUAAAAAUGAAUAUACGUUUUAGGGAGGCAAGUGAAAUUUUGUUCGUGUCGCUUAAAACAAUAAAUAUAACCAAUCAACUGUGCACCCUCAUUUUAAAAUGAUCGAUAGGUUAUAAUAUACUUGAAGAAAAUUGUCUGAAAAGUUUUUAACCGAUUACAAAAAUCAAACGAAAUAUUUCCUUCGUUUAAGAACGUAAAAAAAAAAAAAAAGAAAAAAAAGGGAGAAAAUAAUAUGCACGAUAUACUUACAAGUUCAAAACCACCGAAAUAAUAAUCUUCCCUGUCGGAUAAUAAAAAAAAAAAUAUAACACGACCCGUUUGAGAAAAGAGAGACACCCUAAAUGAAAAAAGAAACUAAAAUCCAAAACGAGAUAAAUGAUGAAAAGCAGCACACAACAACACGCUCUUUGUUGCACGAAUACGAUUUAAAAAAAAAAAAAGAUACUCGAUUAUAAAUCAAUUAGCUUUUGCGUUAAUGCAUACAUAUUAAAAAUGCACGUUACUUAAACGUAACACAUACUUAUACACGACAGACCAGACACAUACACAAGCAAGUAGCAUUUUAAAACUGGAAUAUAUACAAAUAUUCCUUUAAUUAGGUAAUAGUUGUAAUGAUUAAUAAACGGGCUAGGAAUCAUUAGUUCUUAAUAUUAAAUCAUAAAAAUCUAUAAAGUUCAUUCGAGAACUUAUGGUUACAAUGGCAACUAACCCAUAGCAUCGAAUCACGAAUAAAGUCUCUGUAGAAAACUUAUGAGAAAUUUUUCAUUCGAAACUUAACGAUGUCUCGUUGAAUUUACUGGAUAAAACGAUUGUUCAUUCAAACGAAAAUAAAAUGAAAUGAAAUGAAAUGAAAGAAAUGAAGGGAGGGAUUAAGGACGGAAGGAAGAAUAUUAUUUAAAAAAAUAUAUGAUAGGGUGUUAGUUGUUAAUCAUACAACACAACAACUGCGUGACAUUUAUAUAUACAUUAAAAUAUCUACACAUACGUAUAUAUAUUUAUUAAUAUUUAUAUAUACUUAUGUAUACAUAAUUAUAUGUAUAUAAUAUAAUAUCUCUAUCUCUAUCUUUAUUAACAAAAAAGAAAAAAAAAGAGGAAAACACGUCACUGAUUAAUGAUAAACUGCGUAUUAUUGAAUACAUACAUACAUAUAUAUAAGUCAUUUUAUAUAUUAUAAAUAUAAAUACUUAUAUGUAUAUAUUUAUAUAUUACUAUAAUUACACGAAAUAUCCGAGGAAAACUUUACAUUUACACAUACUACUCUACAUGAGAAUAUUAUUAAAUUACGAGCUAUAAAAAGAAUAAAAACAAGAUAAAGGAAAAAAAGAAAAAUAAGAUUUGGGAUAAUAACUUAAACGAUUUGUAUUGUAUAUCUCGAUGGCUUGAAGGUAGUAUAUACAUCAUUUUGCUUAUUUUUAGAAUACGAUAUUAUAAUCGUGAAUAUAACACGUUUAAUUAUGAUUAUUUUAUUAUAAACUAUGGGAUUGGUAUUAAACGUUUGUACGAUGUGUUGUAUAACCAGGGUUAUAAAUCGCUAUAGAAUACAGUUUAUCACUUAUGUUAGGUAUAGAAACGCGUAGAUUAUGUAUCUACUACAGUGUGUGUUUUAUAAUACUACUGGUUCUUUAUCUACUUAAUAACAAAAAAAAAAAAAAAAGGUCUACACAAAUGCAACAACAAAUUACAAGUUUUACUAUACUAUUGUACGCUCCUGACAAAUAUUUUACAAAACGACACAUUUUUACUUCUAAUAGAUACAUUUUAUCUGGCUAUGUUUAUAUCAUAAAACUUAUAUAAUGAUAUUAAUAUAUAAAAAUAAUAUAUCAGUGUGCUACGUUAAAAACAAAAAUAACGAGCAAACAUAAUAUAACAGAAUUCAUAAAUCUUUUACUGGCUGAGAAAAAACAAUAAAGUGAAAUCAGAUAUAAAAAAAAAAAACAAUCAUUGAGUAUUCUAUUUUUUUCUUUUUUAUUUAUUACAAUAACCAAUUAUAUCGUCCUUCCUAUAUUAAUAUUAAUAUUUAAACUUUACGCUCCCACAUGUUUCAUAGUUUUAAUUUUUGUAUCUACCUUAUUGGUGUGUAUCAUUGAAGCUUGAUACGCGUACACUAAUCAAAAUCAUUUUGGGAUCCGGAGGAAGAUAAAAUUUGUUAAAUGGGUCUCUCUUACUAAGAAAAAUCAUCCUAAUUGUUGUCGAAUGAGAAAUCAUUUUUGAAGAAGACACUCGUUCAAUUACUUCAAUGAAUUUAUUUUCAAAUAUCAUUGUAAAAUUGUGAAAUAUAUUUAUUAUUAAAAUAAAAAAAGAAAAACAAAAACACACACACAUAUAUUGAAAUAACAUAUUAUUAUUUAUUAAGAGAGUAUAAAUUAAAUUUGAUAAUCCAUAUUAUUAUAUCUUUACUAAUAAAAUUUUUAAUCGAUAAAUUUAUCGAGAUCAUCUGUUCUAUGAUUAAACGAAAUAACUUUCAUAUAAUGCGAAUACUUAUUGAAUGGUUAAACAAUUAAAAUUUGUUACGAAUUAUUCUCGAGAUAUAAUUGUCUGCUAAAAAAUAAAAAAAUAAUAUUAAGGAAUAAAUAAUGAUUGAAAAUCGAUGUGAAAAAGGGCGUUUAAAAAACAAAUAUCAAUAAUAUAUAUAUAUAUAUUAUAAUUAAUAUAAUCAAAAUUGCAUCUAACGUGAGAUAAAUAUUACACAGUAUACAUUUUAAAGUUGUUUAAAAUUGAAGAAUAUAAAAAGAGCCCAUAAUUUGUGAACACUUUUUAACAAAAAAUGAGUUGUUUUAAAAGAAAUCUUUAAAAAAAUAUAUAAUACACUAGAUGAGAAAUAAUUACGAUUCAAAGAACAAAAAGAUAUUUCUAUGCAAAGUACUACUACCACCAUGCUAUAAAAACUGAAGAGACAAAGUUAGAUACUAAAAAGAAACGGAAGAAAAAAAAAAAAAGUAAAAGGGUUAUAGUCUCGACGGAAAAGUUUCUCAGACAACAAACGUUUUACGAUUGAUCGUUCGAGAGUUACUUGAAAAUAAUAAAAAAUAAAAAUUACAUAUCUUGCUUUUUAUAGAUAGAGAUGAUUCUUUGCUUCGAAAAAUCAUAGAUUAAAAAAGAGAAAAAAAGGUAUGAGAACGGAGGAAAACUAUUAAAGAACAAUGAUUUUCCACGACAAAGUAUACUAAAGUAAAUUUCAAAUUUAAGGUACGUACAUAUUGACGAGUAAUUGAUUAGUAUAA
rnacentral:lncRNA from 1 species